GGAAUCCAUUUGGGGUCAGUCGGCUCUGGAGCUGCUCGGAAGUGGACACACAAAAUCAAAAGCCGAAGUUGGAAAA
rfam:Ailuropoda melanoleuca scaffold74_111, whole genome shotgun sequence.